GUUGUAUGGUUAAGUGACUAAGCGUACAUGGUGGAUGCCUUGGCAGUCAGAGGCGAUGAAGGACGUACUAACCUGCGAUAAGCUGUGAGAAGUCGGUAAGAGACGCUAUUACUCACAGAUUUCCGAAUGGGGAAACCCACCCAAGAUAACUUGGGUAUCUGUUACUGAAUACAUAGGUAACAGAGGCGAACCGGGAGAACUGAAACAUCUAAGUACCCCGAGGAAAAGAAAUCAACCGAGAUUCCCUCAGUAGCGGCGAGCGAACGGGGAUUAGCCCUUAAGCAUCUUGGAAGUUAGUGGAACGGUCCUGGAAAGGCCGGCGAUACAGGGUGAUAGCCCCGUACACGAAAACAACCUUGAUGUGAAAUCGAGUAGGGCGGGACACGUGACAUCCUGUCUGAAUAUGGGGGGACCAUCCUCCAAGGCUAAAUACUCCUGACUGACCGAUAGUGAACCAGUACCGUGAGGGAAAGGCGAAAAGAACCCCUGUGAGGGGAGUGAAAUAGAACCUGAAACCGUGUACGUACAAGCAGUGGGAGCCCUUCGGGGUGACUGCGUACCUUUUGUAUAAUGGGUCAGCGACUUACAUUUUGUAGCGAGGUUAACCGUAUAGGGGAGCCGUAGGGAAACCGAGUCUUAACUGGGCGUCUAGUUGCAAGGUGUAGACCCGAAACCGGGUGAUCUAGCCAUGGGCAGGUUGAAGGUUGAGUAACAUCAACUGGAGGACCGAACCCACUAACGUUGCAAAGUUAGGGGAUGACCUGUGGCUGGGGGUGAAAGGCCAAUCAAACUCGGAGAUAGCUGGUUCUCCCCGAAAGCUAUUUAGGUAGCGCCUCGGACGAAUACUACUGGGGGUAGAGCACUGUUUGGGCUAGGGGGUCAUCCCGACUUACCAACCCCAUGCAAACUCCGAAUACCAGUAAGUAAUAUCCGGGAGACACACGGCGGGUGCUAACGUCCGUCGUGAAGAGGGAAACAACCCAGACCGCCGGCUAAGGUCCCAAAGUUCUGGUUAAGUGGGAAACGAUGUGGGAAGGCUCAGACAGCUAGGAUGUUGGCUUAGAAGCAGCCAUCAUUUAAAGAAAGCGUAAUAGCUCACUAGUCGAGUCGGCCUGCGCGGAAGAUGUAACGGGGCUCAAACCAGGCACCGAAGCCGCGGAUUCACACUUAUGUGUGAGUGGUAGGGGAGCGUUCUGUAAGUCUGCGAAGGUGUAUCGAGAGGUAUGCUGGAGAUAUCAGAAGUGCGAAUGCUGACGUAAGUAACGAUAAAGGGGGUGAAAAGCCUCCUCGCCGGAAGACCAAGGGUUCCUGUCCAACGUUAAUCGGGGCAGGGUGAGUCGACCCCUAAGGCGAGGCCGAAAGGCGUAGUCGAUGGGAAGCAGGUUAAUAUUCCUGCACGACUUGUAAUUGCGAUGGGGGGACGGAGAAGGCUAGGUGGGCCAGGCGACGGUUGUCCUGGUGAAAGUGCGUAGGUGGUGUUUCUAGGCAAAUCCGGAGACACAACACUGAGACACGAGACGAACACACUACGGUGUGGAAGCCAUUGAUGCCCUGCUUCCAGGAAAAGCCUCUAAGCUUCAGAUUACAAGUCAUCGUACCCCAAACCGACACAGGUGGUCGGGUAGAGAAUACCAAGGCGCUUGAGAGAACUCGGGUGAAGGAACUAGGCAAAAUAGAACCGUAACUUCGGGAGAAGGUUCGCUCUUGACAGUGAAGUCCCUUGCGGAUGGAGCAGUUGGGAGUCGCAGUGACCAGAUGGCUGGGACUGUUUAUCAAAAACACAGCACUCUGCAAACACGAAAGUGGACGUAUAGGGUGUGACACCUGCCCGGUGCCGGAAGGUUAAUUGAUGGGGUUAGCGCAAGCGAAGCUCUUGAUCGAAGCCCCGGUAAACGGCGGCCGUAACUAUAACGGUCCUAAGGUAGCGAAAUUCCUUGUCGGGUAAGUUCCGACCUGCACGAAUGGUGUAACCAUGGCCAUGCUGUCUCCACCCGAGACUCAGUGAAAUCGAAUUCGCCGUGAAGAUGCGGUGUACCCGCGGCUAGACGGAAAGACCCCGUGAACCUUUACUACAGCUUGGCACUGAACAUUGAACCUACAUGUGUAGGAUAGGUGGGAGGCUUUGAAGGCGUGACGCCAGUUGCGCUGGAGCCGUCCUUGAAAUACCACCCUUGUAUGUUUGAUGUUCUAACGCAGGGCCCUGAAUCGGGCUCGCGGACAGUGCCUGGUGGGUAGUUUGACUGGGGCGGUCUCCUCCCAAAGAGUAACGGAGGAGCACGAAGGUUGGCUAAUCCUGGUCGGACAUCAGGAGGUUAGUGCAAUGGCAUAAGCCAGCUUAACUGCGAGACGGACAGGUCGAGCAGGUACGAAAGUAGGUCAUAGUGAUCCGGUGGUUCUGAAUGGAAGGGCCAUCGCUCAACGGAUAAAAGGUACUCCGGGGAUAACAGGCUGAUACCGCCCAAGAGUUCAUAUCGACGGCGGUGUUUGGCACCUCGAUGUCGGCUCAUCACAUCCUGGGGCUGAAGUCGGUCCCAAGGGUAUGGCUGUUCGCCAUUUAAAGUGGUACGCGAGCUGGGUUCAGAACGUCGUGAGACAGUUCGGUCCCUAUCUGCCGUGGGCGUUGGAUGAUUGAAGGGAGUUGCUCCUAGUACGAGAGGACCGGAGUGAACGAACCUCUGGUGUUCGGGUUGUCACGCCAGUGGCACUGCCCGGUAGCUAAGUUCGGAAUCGAUAACCGCUGAAAGCAUCUAAGCGGGAAGCGAGCCCUGAGAUGAGUCAUCCCUGACCCCUUGAGGGUCCUAAAGGGCCGUUGGAGACCACAACGUUGAUAGGCGGGGUGUGUAAGUGCAGCGAUGCAUUGAGCUAACCCGUACUAAUUACCCGUGAGGCUUAACCAUACAACACCCAAGAAGUGUU
rnacentral:rRNA from 1 species